AAUUAUUUCUUUUUCUUUGCAGUGAAAUGAUUCAAUAGAAAACAUGCCCAAUGGAAUGCAGCUAAGAAGGAAGAAAAGAAAAUGGUUAAUUUAAAGGACAAGUGGAGAAACAUGAUGCGGAAGUGAUGCACAUGUGUAGAUCUAAGGGAGUAGGUUCUAACUUCUAUGGAUGCAACCAAGUUUUUUUAAAAGAGGGACCUAAGACCUAAGUACCAACUAUGCUGCCAAUACACUUCAGUUUUAUAUCUGGUUUUAAGAGCUCAUCCAAAGUUGCAAGCACUACUUUUCUACAUUGCUUCUAAAGAAGGAGAUAAGAUUUCGGAGCAAUUCACUAUAAUAUGUUCCUAAUCAACAAGCUUCACAGGAAGCUAGAGCUUUACUAGGAAGCCUUGAAUAUCAGUAGGGUAAUUUUGAAGCUGCACUUCAUGUAUUUGAAGGACUAGACAUUGCUGCUGUUGCUCUAAAGAUGAAAAUUUCUAUAUCACCUAUUCGUGCUGCACUUUAUUCUUUUUUAUGAUGUUUUUAAAUUAUAUUUUUGUUGUAGGAAUUGAAUCAAGAGAGUGAGAUUUCAUCGCCAAAAGAGUUAAGAAGUAGGUCUUCCGGCGCAAGCAAUAGAGCAGCAUGAAAUAUGAUGGAGAUUUUAUGUAUUAAGAGUUACAUGUUAUGACAUUUAUAGUUGAAAAAAUAUGUUAUGUUUGAUAUUUUGUAUAAGAGUUAUUACUUUUGAUUUUCAAUACUAAAAAAUCAUAUAUUAUGUUUAAUACUUUGUUUAUGAGUUAUAUAAUAUUUUGUUUAUAGA